UUAUUCAAAUUUGAAAAACGUUCCGUUACAACUCAAUCGUUAAGAGACGUUUGGGUAAACGACAAGAAAGAAGACGAGAGAUAUUUUGUGUUAUUAAUUUAUUUUCGAUUAGGAAAUUGUUCCGAGGAGAAAUGGAAGAAAAGUUCUAGGCCAUUCAAAGUAUAAAGUUAUUAACGUGCAAUAUGAAAAGAAUUGAAGACCUAUAAAUACCAACUGUCGUCCGUCAAUUCUUUCUUAAUAUCCAGAACGGAGUUAGAUGAAAGACGAGAGCAGAUAUGGAAUCCUUAGAAGCAGGAGGUUGCCUCUAAGGAUUACUUGUAUAUGAAAUUCCGCUGCAAACCGGAAGUUACGCUAUUUUGAUUCAAAAGUUUUCCCCCGAAAGCAGUUAUAGACGAUCGGCACGACUCUAUUGUUAAAAGAAAAGAAUGAUGUACGGGGGCACUGCUAAUUGCAGAUUCACUAUUAAGCAAUAAAGAGAAGAGAAACAAAUGAAGAAUUGUUUCCAGGAAAAACGAUGAGUCGAGGAAUGCGUUUAACUUCUGUUUACAGAAGACUUAAUUGAAGGCAGUGAUAAGGACUUAUACGAGAAUAUGAAAAAGGAAGAAUAUAUGUCAAGCAAAUGAAGAGAAACAGAAAUGAAAUGAAGAAGAUAUUUUAAAUAAUUUCCAAAUAUGUUAUUUUUUAAAAUACUUUUCAUAUAAGUUGUUUUGAGAUAAAUGUAUAAAGUACAUUAAUUUGUGAUAGUAUGUGUAUACUGCUUGGAAAUAUUUGCAAAUACUGGUGUAAGCAGUUUACGUAUGAUUUAUUGUUUGAUGUGGGGUGGUCUAGUUAGUUGUAACGUAUCAAUUUUCGUUUAAAGAAUGUUGCUAGAAAGAAAAUUAUUUUUCUAUCUGCACACACACUCUAACAAUACUUUAAAAUCAGCGAUUAAUUUCAGAUAUUUACAUAUUCGAUUAGUAAUGAAGUGAAGAGAGUUUCGGUUUUAAUGCUUUUAUCAUAUUUCACAGGUUUAAACAAUCAGAAGUCAAGAAAUGGGAAGUAUCGAUGUGGCAGUUGCGAAAAAGAAUUCGUUUCGAAAAAUGGGUUAAAAUAUCAUCGAAGGAUUCACACUGGAGAGAAACUCUUUGCCUGUGAUCACUGCAAACAACGUUUUACACUAAAAAGAAACCUGAUUCUACAUCUUCGAACUCACACGGGAGAGAAACCAUUCUCUUGUGACCAUUGCAAACGACGUUUUACGCAAAAACAUCGUCUGAUAGAACAUCUUCGUCUUCACACCGGAGAGAAACCAUUCUCGUGUGAUCAUUGCUUACAAAAAUUUCGUGUUAAAGCUUAUUUAAAGUAUCAUAUUAUUAAACAUCAUAAUAGUAAUGAAUAAUGACUUUUGUGGAAAUGAUUUUAGUACAUUUCUUUGAAAAAUAUGUAAUACUCGUAUUUUAGAUUUUAUUGAACAUGAAACAAGAAAUUUCUAAAGUUUGAUUUUUUUCGUUUUGUAACUUUCAU